rnacentral:rRNA from 1 species
UACUUUGAUAGCACAGUGGCGAACGGGUGCGUAACACGUAGAUACAUUCCGUAAAGUGGGGAAUAGCCCAGGGAAACUUGGAUUAAUGCCGCAUGUGGUCGAGAGACUAAAGGCAACGAAAGUUGUCGCUUUACGAUUGGUCUGCGGCCUAUCAGCUAGUUGGCGGGGUAAUGGCCCACCAAGGCUACGACGGGUAGCUGGUCUAAGAGGACGACCAGCCACACUGGAACUGAGACACGGUCCAGACACCUACGGGUGGCAGCAGUCGAGAAUCUUUCACAAUGGGGGCAACCCUGAUGGAGCGACGCCGCGUGGAGGAGAAGGUCUUCGGAUUGUAAACUCCUGUCAUGCGCGAACAAAUGUGCCUAGCACACUGAUAGUAGCGCAAGAGGAAGAGACGGCUAACUCUGUGCCAGCAGCCGCGGUAAUACAGAGGUCUCAAGCGUUGUUCGGAAUCACUGGGCGUAAAGGGUGCGUAGGUGGUUAGGCAAGUCAGAUGU